GAGUAAUAUAUGUGCUACAAUAACACAGUCGGUACGAAGUCGAAACAAGGUAGUUGAUGGUGAACCAGUGGCUGAACAAACCUUUUAAUUGAUUAUGCUGACUUUAGUCCCGAUAAACUACAGUUCUGCUUAAACUGAGGAGUCAAGUAGGUACAAACCGUACAAGGAUUAAUUAUGUCCAUCUGUGCAUCUAAGUUGAUACUCGGUUAGA
rnacentral:lncRNA from 1 species